AUUGAACGCUGGCGGCAGGCCUAACACAUGCAAGUCGAGCGGAUGAAGGGAGCUUGCUCCUGGAUUCAGCGGCGGACGGGUGAGUAAUGCCUAGGAAUCUGCCUGGUAGUGGGGGAUAACGUCCGGAAACGGGCGCUAAUACCGCAUACGUCCUGAGGGAGAAAGUGGGGGAUCUUCGGACCUCACGCUAUCAGAUGAGCCUAGGUCGGAUUAGCUAGUUGGUGGGGUAAAGGCCUACCAAGGCGACGAUCCGUAACUGGUCUGAGAGGAUGAUCAGUCACACUGGAACUGAGACACGGUCCAGACUCCUACGGGAGGCAGCAGUGGGGAAUGUUGGACAAUGGGCGAAAGCCUGAUCCAGCCAUACCGCGUGUGUGAAGAAGGUCUUCGGAUUGUAAAGCACUUUAAGUUGGGAGGAAGGGCAGUAAGUUAAUACCUUGCUGUUUUGACGUUACCAACAGAAUAAGCACCGGCUAACUUCGUG
rnacentral:rRNA from 1 species